rnacentral:rRNA from 1 species
AGAUUAGCCAUGCGAGUUAACGUAGCAAUACGUGGCGCACGGCUCAGUAACACGUAGUCAACAUGCCCAGAGGACGUGGAUAACCUCGGGAAACUGAGUCUAAACCGCGAUAAGUGAGGAUUUCUGGAAUGGUUCCUGACUAAAAUCUAUAUGGCCUCUGGAUUGGACUGCGGCCGAUCAGGCUGUUGGUGAGGUGAUGGCCCACCAAACCUGUAACCGGUACGGGCUCUGAGAGGAGGAGCCCGGAGAUGGGCACUGAGACAAGGGCCCAGGCCCUAUGGGGCGCAGCAGGCGCGAAACCUCUGCAAUAGGCGAAAGCCUGACAGGGUUACUCUGAGUGACUUUCGCUAAGAAAGUCUUUUGGCACCUCUAAAAAGGGUGCAGAAUAAGGGGUGGGCAAGUCUGGUGUCAGCCGCCGCGGUAAUACCAGCACCCCGAGUGGUCGGGGCGAUUAUUGGGCCUAAAGCAUCCGUAGCCGGUUCUGCAAGUCCCCCGUUAAAUCCAGCUGCUCAACAGAUGGGCCGCGGAGGAUACUACAGAGCUAGGAGGCAGGAGAGGCAAGCGGUACUCAGUGGGUAGGGGUAAAAUCCGUUGAUCCAUUGAAGACCACCAGUGGCGAAGGCGGCUUGCCAGAAUGCGCUCGACGGUGAGGGAUGAAAGCUGGGGGAGCAAACCGGAUUAGAUACCCGGGUAGUCCCAGCCGUAAACGAUGCAGACUCGGUGAUGGGUUGGCUUCGCGCUAACCCAGUGCCGCAGGGAAGCCGUUAAGUCUGCCGCCUGGGUAGUACGGUCGCAAGACUGAAACUUAAAGGAAUUGGCGGGGGAGCACCACGAGGGGUGAAGCCUGCGGUUCAAUUGGAGUCAACGCCGGGAAUCUUACCGGGGGCGACAGCAGAAUGAAGGUCAAGCUGAAGACUUUACCAGACAGCUGAGAGGAGNUG